GGUGAAGAAGGCUUCCGGGUUGUAAAGCCCUCUUGUUGGGAAAGAAAAGCACCGGUUAAUACCCGGGUGUUCUGACGGUACCCAAAGAAUAAGCACCGGCUAACUUCGUGCCAGCAGCCGCGGUAAUACGAAGGGUGCAAGCGUUACUCGGAAUUACUGGGCGUAAAGCGUGCGUAGGUGGUUGUUUAAGUCCGUUGUGAAAGCCCUGGGCUCAACCUGGGAAUUGCAGUGGAUACUGGGCAACUUGAGUGUGGUAGAGGAUAGUGGAAAUUCCGGUGUAGCAGUGAAAUGCGUAGAGAUCGGAAGGAACAUCUGUGGCGAAGGCGACUAUCUGGGCCAACACUGACACUGAGGCACGAAAGCGUGGGGAGCAAACAGGAUUAGAUACCCUGGUAGUCCACGCCCUAAACGAUGCGAACUGGAUGUUGGGUUCAACUUGGAACCCAGUAUCGAAGCUAACGCGUUAAGUUCGCCGCCUGGGGAGUACGGUCGCAAGACUGAAACUCAAAGGAAUUGACGGGGGCCCGCACAAGCGGUGGAGUAUGUGGUUUAAUUCGAUGCAACGCGAAGAACCUUACCUGGUCUUGACAUCCUACGGAACUUUCUAGAGAU
rnacentral:rRNA from 1 species